GGGGGAGGGACGAACCCUGUGCAGAGAGAACUCCUGAGACGAGUCCCUGUCUUUGCUCUGCAGCCUCACAGUGAUCGUCCUGCUGCUACUGUCGUCCCUCUGGCU